UACGUAGGUGGCAAGCGUUGUCCGGAAUUAUUGGGCGUAAAGCGCGCGCAGGCGGUUUCUUAAGUCUGAUGUGAAAUCUCGCGGCUCAACCGCGAGCGGCCAUUGGAAACUGGGAGACUUGAGUGCAGAAGAGGAGAGCGGAAUUCCACGUGUAGCGGUGAAAUGCGUAGAGAUGUGGAGGAACACCAGUGGCGAAGGCGGCUCUCUGGUCUGUAACUGACGCUGAGGCGCGAAAGCGUGGGGAGCGAACAGG
rnacentral:misc_RNA from 1 species